GAAUCUUCUGAUAUGGGUGAGCGAUCUACAAGGGAAGGGAACUUCCCUUGUAGCACCUUGCUAUUGUGCUGGUCCUUCCAUUUCUUUUGUAACACCUUUUCCAUUGUGUUGGUCCUUCUGAUUGCUAGAAUGACCCUGACUGGAGGAAGAGUGCAUGGCUAGGAACGACUCAUGAUUUUGAUUGGAUAAAUGCCUGCAUGCAUCAUUUAGGAGUAUUUGUGGAAUGCUGUGCGACAUGUAAAGUAUUCCACAUCAUAACAUCAUGCAGUGCACUGAGAGUUAAAGACUGGAUAGAAGAGAAAGAAGAACUACAUUUCCCAGAGGACUCUGCGUUGUUCUGUUUCCGUUUUUCAUUCAGAGGGAAAGAUAAACUGUUUGCAUACCACGAGACGUCCCCCUUUUUGAUCUUCUGGCUUGUCCUGGCAACAUCUCUCUCCCUAGCUGUCUUGCUGCCAGCAUUAGAGUAAGUCCUAUAGUUUCUUGGACACUUCCAUUUUAUUUAUUAGCUUCAGUUCCAAUUAUAUUGUAUUGUGUUAUCUUGCAUUCUGAAAUCUUAUUUAGUAAAUUAGUUUGUUUCUUC